AACUGAACUUUACAGGACAAAUAGUUUCUGAACACAAUUUUGAUUUCAGUGUAACUUUUCUUUAUUUUUUCUUCAAUAAGAACCACUGCUGUGUUGAAAGCAAACCACCCCCACCAUCCAAUCUCUGAUAUUGGUUUUCUGCUUCCUCUCCUCUAGCUGCAGUGAUUACACCAAAGUGAAGUUGGUGGGAGGCCAAUUUGUGAAUCACAAGGUUGGCCAAAUAUCCAACAUUGCUGAUCAAGGGAAGUUGACUCACUGACCUGAGGCUGAGUGACUUCUUGAAUGAAGAUAAUCUUUUAAGUUGGCCAUUAAAAUGUAAUUGUCUUUUACCACUGUAGUUGCGAAAGAUUAAUUUCUCAGUUAAAGGGGAAUUCCACUUUUCCUGUUUCUGUUGAGUCCGUAUGGUUUCAUAUCGUUAUGUGAGUUUCACAGCCAUCCUAAUGUGAUGUUAAAGGGGAACUUCACCCAUUUUAAGUUUUUGUGGCCUUACUUUUCUCUUUAUAUAUAUAUUAUGUCUACUGUGCCAUUAAUCCAUGUUUGAAAGAUUUAACCUUAAUAUGCAAAUAUUGAGUUAUAGGAUGGUGGAAACAAAAUAUGUAAAAUUAGUGAGUUUGGAGUGUUUUAUAUACACAUUUUUAUCAUGCAUUCAGUCAAUGGAAAGUGAUGAUUCAGCAAAAGUGAAACCAAUUUUCAGAAAUACGAUAUCAAAAAACGAUUUGGGAAAUCAACUACAAACACAGAAAGGGAGAACAUAAAACAUGUGAAAAUGUGUUAACUUCCCCUGACAGUAUAACAACAGAAUUUCCUCUUGGGGAUCAAUCACAUAUAAAAUGCAAACAUUUUACAGUUUUGUUAUGGAUCGCCGUUAAACUCUAACUCACAUAGUAAUGAUUUUUUGAAACCAUCUAUAGAAUGGACUGGAGAACAUCGAACAGAACAAUUGAUUGUAAUUCCCCCACUCAUGGUUAUUUUGAAAUGAUUUGUCUCUGCAUUCCUGAAAUAUGACGUACCAGUCGCCAGCCAAAUUAAUGCAAAGCUGUAUGAUGAGUCGGGAACUGAAGUUGAUGGAGAAAUGUUUGAGGAGGUGCUGACACAGCCAAGUCCUGGUGUUUUCACAAUCAGACUGGACAAUGAUACUGGUAUGUGUUGGUUUUUCACAGUAAUAAAGUUAGAGGUUUAACUGUCGGCCUCUCCUCUGGACCAGUUACUUUGUAUAGGGCUGUGUUGCUUUCUCACAUUCAUUUGGAAUGUCUCUCUUUGUCAAAACCUUUACAAUAAUCAACCACUUUGUGUGACAGUAUCUUCCCAGAUGACUUCCUCCUUUGCCAGUUCCUUGUUGGAGAUCUCGUCCAUUGAGUUAGAUGAUACUGUCAUUCUGAGCGAUGAUUGGAGCCCUUCAAGAAAACGACAGAGAGCUGAGGAUGAAGCUAAACAACAUGUAUUUUUCUGAGUGUAAUGUAAUAAGCAUCUGUUUAGAAUCAUUAUUUGCUAACAUCUCUUUCUCUUAACUAAUGUUCCGUAUAUCAGCUUACCCCCCUGAUAGUUGGGAGCUGUAAACCAGUGCAUACCUUUUUACCUGCAGUGUCCGAUGAGAGCGGGUAAGGAUGGUUCUGGAUUGUUCUUGAUCAUUUUCCUUUCAUAGUUAAGAAAUAACAUACUGAAGAAGAAAUCUGGUGGCGCUCUUGUCAUCAAUACUCUCGAACCAAAGGGCUGACUGACGACACCAGACGAAAGAUGAUACAUUUUCUCACAGCAGAGAUGACCGAGACUCACGGUUAAGCACUAAACCAGGCACGCAAGAAAGCUGUCUGUAUCUAAGAUGUAUUUGAGAUGAAUGUUGCUAUUAUAGGGACCAGAAUCAACAGGGGGCUUCAUUGCAAAUGGAUGAAUAAAGUACUCUUGUUGUCAGGACAUCAGCACCACGCCAUGAGGGAGUCAUAUGCUCAAGGAAUUGUCGACUUGUUCCCUUACCUCAAGGACUCCUACAAAACUAAAAGAUAUGAACAUUAUUUUGACCCUCAAACUGGAAAUAGUUACUUGUCCUCUGAACCAUCCAGAGGAAUUCAGCUUCACCUGAGAAAUUAUCACCUAGCCAGUAAUUCAGUGGUGACCCAAUAGCUGAGAUAGAGACUCCAUCCCAUCCAGAGAUUACCCUGAUUGGUGAAAAGUGUAGGGAAGCCAUUUCCCUGAUGAAGCAUUCUUCUGAUGAGGUCACCAACAAGCAGAAAAUGAGGAUGACAUUUGAAUACAGACGGAAGAUGACUCAUGACCCAAGUAAAUGCUGCGAGUUGCUGACUGAAUUUCCACAAUUCAUGGAUAUGAAGUGCCUGGAUGGACAGUGACCUCUCCUCCAUCCUCCUCCAGCUCCAUUUGAUUCCCCCUUCAUCACAAGGCCACAAAAGACCAGGCAAGGCAGGAACCAGUAUCCAGAAACACAUUGAUGCUAUUGCCCAAAGCAGUUAACCGUACCUUCUUGCUGUCGGGACCAAGAGGAGCAGCAUCCAUAGUUACUUCAUCAUCCUGGACAAGCAAGCUCUGACAUGAAACUCACCAAGCGCCUUUUCUUUAGUUUAUUUGUUAAAUAUUUUCUUUACUCUUCUUGAACUGCACUGUUGGUUAAGGGCUUGCAAGUAAGCAUUUCACGGUAAUGUCUACACUUGUUGUAUUUGGAGCAUGUGGCAAAUAAAGUUUGAUUUGAUGA